UCUGCUCAGUAACACGUGGAUAACCUACCCUUAGGACCGGAAUAACCCCGGGAAACUGGGGAUAAUACCGGAUAAGCCAUAGACGCUGGAAUGCCCUAUGGUUCAAAGCUCCGGCGCCUAAGGAUGGAUCUGCGGUCUAUCAGGUUGUAGUGGGUGUAACGUACCUACUAGCCGACGACGGAUACGGGUUGUGAGAGCAAGAGCCCGGAGAUGGAUUCUGAGACACGAAUCCAGGCCCUACGGGGUGCAGCAGGCGCGAACACUUUACAAUGCGGGAAACCGCGAUAAGGGAACCCCGAGUGCCAGCAUCAAAUGUUGGCUGUCCGGAUGAUUAAAAAUCAUUUGUUAGCAAGGGCCGGGCAAGACCGGUGCCAGCCGCCGCGGUAACACCGGCGGCCCGAGUGGUAGCCGUUUUUAUUGGGUCUAAAGGGUCCGUAGCCGGCUUGAUAAGUCCUUUGGGAAAUCUGGCAGCUUAACUGUCAGGCUUCUAAGGGAUACUGUCAGGCUUGGGACCGGAAGAGGUAAGGGGUACUCCAGGGGUAGGAGUGAAAUCUUGUAAUCCCUGGGGGACCUUCUGUGGCGAAGGCGCCUUACCAGAACGGGUCCGACGGUGAGGGACGAAAGCUAGGGGAGCAAACCGGAUUAAAUACCCGGGUAGUCCUAGCUGUAAACGAUGCUCGCUAGGUGUCAAACACGGUGCGACCGUGUUUGGUGCCGCAGGGAAGCCGUUAAGCGAGCCACCUGGGAAGUACGGUCGCAAGGCUGAAACUUAAAGGAAUUGGCGGGGGAGCACUACAACGGGUGGAGCCUGCGGUUUAAUUGGAUUCAACGCCGGAAAACUCACCGGGUGCGACAGCAAUAUGUAGGUCAGGCUGAAGGUCUUACCUGAAUCGCUGAGAGGAGGUGCAUGGCCGUCGUCAGUUCGUACUGUGAAGCAUCCUGUUAAGUCAGGCAACGAGCGAGACCCGCGCCCACAGUUGCCAGCAUGUUCUCCGGAACGAUGGGUACACUGUGGGGACCGCCGCUGCUAAAGCGGAGGAAGGAACGGGCUACGGUAGGUCAGUAUGCCCCGAAUCUCCCGGGCUACACGCGGGCUACAAUGGUUG
rnacentral:rRNA from 1 species